rnacentral:rRNA from 1 species
CCUACGGGAGGCAGCAGUAAGGUAAUUUUGCGCAAUGGACGAAAGUCUGCCUUCAGACAACGCCGCGUGAUCGAUGAAGCUUCUAGGAGUGUAAAGAUCUGUCGUAAGGGAAGAAAAACCUGGAUGUAAAUAAUGUUCAGAUUUGACGGUACCUUUCAAGAAAGCACCGGCUAACUUCGUGCCAGCAGCCGCGGUAAUACGAGGGGUGCUAGCGUUGUCCGGAAUAACUGGGCGUAAAGGGUCCGUAGGCGUUUUACCAAGUUGAUUGUUAAAUCCACCGGCUUAACCGGUGACCUGCAAUCAAAACUGGUAGAAUAGAAUAUGUGAGAGGAAUGUGGAAUUCCUGGUGUAGCGGUGACAUGCGUAGAUAUCAGGAGGAACACCGAUGGCGAAGGCAGCAUUCUGGCACAAUAUUGACGCUGAGGGACGAAAGCGUGGGGAGCGAACAGGAUUAGAUACCCUGGUAGUCCACGCCGUAAACGAUGAGUACUUGAUGGUGGAGGAUUCGACCCUUUCACUAUCGGAGCUAACGCGUUAAGUACUCCGCCU